rnacentral:rRNA from 1 species
CAGUAGCCGCGGUAAUACGGAGGGUGCAAGCGUUAAUCGGAAUUACUGGGCGUAAAGCGUGCGUAGGCGGUUCGUUAAGUCUGUUGUGAAAGCCCCGGGCUCAACCUGGGAAUGGCAAUGGAUACUGGCGAGCUAGAGUGUGUCAGAGGAUGGUGGAAUUCCCGGUGUAGCGGUGAAAUGCGUAGAGAUCGGGAGGAACAUCAGUGGCGAAGGCGGCCAUCUGGGACAACACUGACGCUGAGGCACGAAGGCGUGGGGAGCAAACAGGAUUAGAUACCCGCGUAGUCCCUGUCUCUUAUAC